UUUUAUGAGAGUUUGAUCCUAGCUCAGGAUGAACGCUGGCGGCAUGCCUAAGACAUGCAAGUCGAACGAGGGAACCUGAUGAAUCUUUGCGUACUUGUACAAGAAGACGAAACAGAUUUUUCCCUAGUGGCAAACGGGUGAGUAACACGUGGGUUACCUGCCUCUAAGUUUGGGAUAACAGUUAGAAAUGAUUGCUAAUACCGAAUGUGAUAAUUUAUCAAAGAAGCCCUUAAAGCUUCGCUUAGAGAUGGGCCUGCGGUGCAUUAGCUUGUUGGUGGGGUAAUGGCCUACCAAGGCGAUGAUGCAUAGCCGAACUGAGAGGUUAAUCGGCCACACUGGGACUGAGACACGGCCCAGACUCCUACGGGAGACAGCAGUUAGGAAUAUUCGGCAAUGGGGGAAACCCUGACCGAGCAAUGCCGCGUGAAUGAUG
rnacentral:rRNA from 1 species